UACGUAGGGGGCUAGCGUUGUCCGGAAUCAUUGGGCGUAAAGCGCGUGUAGGCGGUUCGGUAAGUCCGCUGUGAAAGUCGGGGGCUCAACCCUCGGAUGCCGGUGGAUACUGUCGAGCUUGAGUACGGGAAGAGGCGAGUGGAAUUCCUGGUGUAGCGGUGAAAUGCGCAGAUAUCAGGAGGAACACCGAUUGCGAAGGCAGCUCGCUGGGACGUCACUGACGCUGAGACGCGAAAGCGUGGGGAGCAAACAGG
rnacentral:rRNA from 1 species